UUUAGUUUUUCUUUUUCUAAUUUUAGUGGAGUUUCGAUCUAAUUUUCCAUGGAUUUAUCCAUGAAUCUUGACUGUUAGAGAUUUUCUUGAUGUGAUGCUAAAUGUCUUCUAGCAUUCUGUGUUGAUUUGAUUUUAGGAUGACAUGUUUAGUUGGCUUUCAUCAUAUCGGCAGAUCCCGUAGGUUCUGAAUCUUUGGUGCGUUCGUCUAGGUUAAUCAUUGUUUUCUUUUUUUUUUUCCGUUCAAAGUUUCUUUCUUUAAGGUAGAUUAAUUUUCUUUCUUUCUUUCUUUUUGAUCCUGAGCUUUGUAGAUGCGUAUUGCUUGAUUAGCCUUGGAAUUUAUCAUCUGAUAUGUAAUAUUUUUAUUGGGUCUACUGGGUCUUGUUGUGUUUCUGGGGAUGAUGUUCUGAUUUCUCUCUUUCGCUUUAAUUCCUUCUGUGAAAAUAUAUGCUGUUUUCAACAUAAAAGUUUGUUUUCCUUCUUUAAGGCUCCUUGCGUGCGCAGAAGAUAAAUCGGUGUACAUCCUCAGUUGCAUGAGCUUAAUCUGUGUCACUUAUGAGUAACCCGUCUUAAAAUGUAAUGCCAUAUUGAGAGAUUGACAUAAAAUGUCUUCAAACUUUAGUAGAUCACGCCUUGAUUUAGAAUGCUGACUCCAUAUGAACAGGAGAACUUUAACAUAGGAAGCUCUUCAUUUGAUUUUGGUACCUCAAUAUAUUUAAGCUGAAUUUUCAUGCCAAUCACAGUGUCAAAAACCAUUCUUAGCAGUCCAAUCCUCUUGGCAAUAUUCGAAAUGUAUAUAUUCAUGGUUUUGCUAUUAACAUUAUCCAGAACUCUCUUGUGGUUUCUGUCACAACUUACAGCACAGUUUUCAGUGAGAGACAUAAUUAUCUGGCACCUGCCUCUUGAGCAAUUAAAUUGUAUGAUGCAAUUAUUUGACACUCAUGGGGAACACCAAUGGAGCCAGGAAAGGGCUUAGGCACGAAAUAUUUAUUUGUUCAUAUGCUGUUGCUACCACCUCCAAGUAUGCUUAUAAUGCAUAAUCAUUUGUCACCACACAUGUCUGACUGCAAGUUGCCUGUCAGUCAUGCAGAUGAAUCUUUCAUCAGUCCAGACAUAUUUGGUAGAUGUGGCGCAGGCUACCGAGGAUAGAAGCAUGAUGAUGCUACUAUAUUUGCAACUUUUGGUUUCAAUGAAUCCCCCAAUAUUUAUACUGAUCAACCUCUGAUACAGCCUAGUGCUUCAGCACUAGCGUCCGAUCAACCUCUGAUGCAGUCUGCUUUACGACCUAAAGAUGAAUGCAAUCCGAGUGGCUUCUUAUGGCCUAAAGAUCAAUGCAAUCUGCUUUAUCUGGUUGUGUAUUUGUUGUUGAGGAUGUUUGCAUGAUUUAUAGAAGCCAAGUUUGUCAUUUUGAAGUUCCAUAUGUGGAAGCCACCGCUUGAUAAUAGAGAUCAACCACAACCAUCUUGAAGGCUUACAUUUGGUUUUUGAAUACACAAAUCACUUCGUUACAUCUUUAAAAAGCAUAUGGUGUUUGAAUUUAUUAUGAACCUGUUCAUGUAGCUUUAUUUGAGUUUCAAACUGAAGGUUCAGUUUUAUGAUAUUUCUAGUCAACAUGUCUGCAAAUGCAGAUUCAGUUUGUUGGGAGUUGCUGUAAGCAAAUAACCAUAUCUGUUUUGCUGUCUACAGCCAAAGCAAAUUCAUGAGAUUAAGGAUUUCCUUCUCACGGCAAGAAGGAAAGAUGCACGCUCUGUCAAAAUUAAGAGGAGCAAGGAUGUUGUCAAGUUCAAAGUUCGAUGCUCCAAGUACCUCUAUACACUGUGUGUGUUUGACUCUGAAAAAGCAGACAAGUUGAAGCAAUCUCUUCCUCCAGGUUGGUGGUGUCUCUAACUAUUUCCACUUUUUGUUUCCCAUAAGAUUUUGGAAGUGCCAUUCAGAUAUACAUGUAGUCACGUUCCUAAGUUAUCUGUUAUUCAAAGAACACAAGCGUUCAUACCUUUGCAGCAUUACUAAAAUAUUGUUGGCAGACUCAAUAAGUAAUGAUGCAUAGACACAGUUGCAUCUUAAUGUUUCAUUUUUUUUGUUGUUGUAAAAGUUUUAUGUAGAACAUAAUGUUUUAUAUAUUACUAAUGAGAGUCGACAGCUGUCAGCCCAGCUAGUUGUCAUCUCUCUAUAGGAGAGGUCUCAGGUUCUCUAUCUGGUGGUGGCAAAGAAUCAUCAUAUUGCUCAAAAAAGUAUUCUACCCAUGAUAUUUUGCUACUAAUUAACCACGACCUGUUAUGUAAUUGUUCUUAAAAUUGCCUGAGCAAGUUUAGAGAUGGUCUCUUAUAAAUACAGAUAUAAUCUGUAUCUUUAAUCGAACCAUUUUCCAAUUUUAAUUUCUAAUGGUUACAAGAAGUUGUAAAUAGGGAUCCUUACCGCAGAAUCCCACAAAAAGAUUGUUAUAUGUUAUACUUAAUUGAAAGAGUAACGUGGUAUUAUACAUGCUAUUAGAUAUUGUUAUUUUUCUUGUUCCUUGAAGAUAGAUGUGGGUGCAACAUAAUUUGGUUCUGGUUAAAAAUUGUUAACAUGGGAAAUUUUGUUGGAGUGCAUUUUAUUUUUUUCAAUAAUAACCUGGGUUUAUUAUAAUUUAGAGCACUGAUUGGAUAUGCUUUUAAUGUUGCAGGUUUGAAUGUCCAAGAUGUUUGAAGAUGAUGCCGGAGACCCUUUAAGAAGUAGCUAAAAACGUUGUUUGCUUUUGUUUUCCUUUUAACUAAGAAACUUCUGGUCUUCUUUAGGAUCAACGUCUUUGGAUAUGUGUUCUGAAUUUUGAAGAUUAUUCUCAUUUGUUUUUCAUUUUCUUACUAUUGAGUCAUCGGGAAGAUUUUGGCAUAUUUGGUUUGGUAUUUGGAACUGGUUUGUAUCAGAUAUUCUCUAUCAGGUUCCUCUCUGAGUUUUCAGUUUAUUAUAAGCACCCAGAAAAGAGCUGAUCUUGUGAAUUUCUAUCUCGUUUAAUUGGGUUUAAGUGACUGGAGGAUAAUGUGUACAACUCCAUAAUUUGAUUCUUGGUAGUCCUGUUUUGGAUCCAGCACAUCUUGAGUAAGGGAAAUAAGCGACCAACACAUCUUGUGAGCUUUCCAUUGAACUUCUGAUGAUUGCAGCUGUUGUUACGAACUUUUUGGAUAUUUGAUCUCCACAAUAAUUUUUGGUGUGGUUUUGAGGCCCAUAUGGUCGAAUCGUCCUAAGCUGUAUGUGAACCAUAGCAAGAAAACUGAAUCAUGAUCUAACCAGGCUAUCUUUUUCUUUCGACUGUCACAUGUUUUCAGUUGGUUGGGGGUUUUGUUGAGGUUGUGGGAUUUCUUAGCACAGGGAACAAAACUUCUGUUCCUAGGCAUUUUAAGCAUUGAUCCAACAUGCUUAUGUUCUUCUCAUUUUAUUGAUAUGGAAAAGAAUACACGAAGGAUGGUGCAAAUGGAGGAUUCAGACUAGUUUUUUCUAUUGGAUUUCUGGAUUACACAGUCUAUUUGGACAUGACCCUUAUAUUUUCGGUUGGAUAUAUGGAUUGGCACCCUAUGGGACAUGGUAUCAAUUCAACGCAGUUCUUUUCUACCACUAGUUCAAACUAUUGAUGCCAAUCAUAUUGGACCAUGUGUAAAGUGAAUUUUUAGAGUAUCCCACUAAUCUUGGCAACUAUUGGUACCAUUCGUCUUCGUGGAGAUGUCUUAUUCCCUCCAAAUAAACAGUCUUCUUCUAAUCUCUAGAUAUUCCAAAAUCUUGUAAAUGUACGGCUGUCUCCCCACAGCAUUACUCAAAAUUGUGUAUGCAAAUGAUUUAUCAUCGAAAAAUGUUUCCACUGCGCACGGAAAGUCUGUCGAUCUCACAAAUGGAACCAAACUCCGUUUGUUUUGGCAUCACUUGUAUCAAUUUUCCUUUACAAGAGAGGAGUCUCUAGCAGUGCUCUCUACCAUUUGAUUUCUUUAUAGUUCUCUACAUGUUUUGCCAAAUCCCACUACCAUUCAUCCCUUUCAACUUAUUGCUGUUUCUCACUCGCGGGGAGAAUUUCUUUGGGACCUUCUUCUACCUUUCGUCUGCUCGAAUUUUUGUUGAUGUCUUUCUCGAUUCUCUGAGAAGAAACAGAGUACGUUGAUGAGAUUCUUUGUUUUUGUUUUUAUUUUUAUUUUCCCCUCCUUAAACUAUGCCUAUACCCUGUAGCAUGUAUAUAACAGCCAAAAUUUAGUGAUAAAUGGUUUUUUUUUCUCGUAGAAGGCAAAAGAUGGCAGCAGAACCAGAGCGAUGCGUGCUUCAAGAGCCCUGUGUUGUUACGUGGGGCAUACUGGCCAUACAUGGCUCGACAUGUGCCAAGCCAUUUGUCUUUCUAAUGGUAUUCGUCAAAGCAGUCGCAGAGGGAAAGAGAAUAUAUCAUACUGCCCCAUAAAGAUGCAGAUAACAUUUGGGACAUCAAUGAGAUGUCAUGCAGAAAUAGAAGUAUUUUCUUUAAAAUUAUCAAACAUUUGAUGACAUUGCGUUAUAGCUUUGCCUCAAAUUUUUUCUUUCUUUUUUUAUAAACAAACAGGCCUUAAAGCCUAAAUUAAAAAUAGUAAAGGUGCACAGUUGCAUAUACACAUAUUUCCAUAAUAGAUUCUGAAGAUCGCGGAGAUUUGAAUUAACACCCAUAAUACAAAAAUCAUCCUCCAGUCAGCUACAUAAAUACCUUCUCUUAGUAUGUGUAGCUAUAAAUGUGAAUAAAGUAUACCUACAUGCAAUUAUGUCCAGUAAUAGAGGGCUAGAAAGAAGCCUCUGUAACUACCGAGGUGGUAGCCUAGUGACAACGAGGCAUGUCUUUCACCAGGGUGGUCCAGGUUCGAAACGCGCAGAUGUCGGUUACAUUCGGAGACCGGAUGCUCCACGUCUGGAUGCUGCUAGUAGAAGUGCUACUGGUCUGCUGGCAAUCGGAGCGGUGCUGGGGUAACGUACAUACACGUGGAUAACCACGGAUGGGGAGGGCACGCAGAAAUUAGCGACUUGAAUCGAACAUGCUCCAGCGGGGAUUUGGGGAGGGAGCUUAGUGUGGGGUUGCUAUGCGGGUGAGCUUCUCCUAUUAUGUACUGAAAAAAAAAAAAAAAGCAAGCCUAUGCGCAUGUUGUGCGGUAAGCAGUGAGAUCAUCACGGUGGUGGAAUCACCUACAGCCCAUAACUGUGAUACAUGAUAAUUCAAAAUGGCACAUUUUAUCCUUUCCCAUGCUCGUACUAAUUCAGCAUAAGGUACGGAGCUUGAUGAUAGUGGGUGGCGAGCUAUAUAAAUAAGAUUGGCAUUACAGUCUCUUAGAACAUAACUUGUCGCUGCUGCUAUCAGUCCUUUCAGAAUAGUUAGGAGUGGAGGAUCCAUUUAACGGUUGGAUAAAUAAAAGGUCUGCAGAACAAGAUUUUCCUCGAUCCCUUUGUGUUCUAAAUGGGAUGUUAAUAUUUGAGGAAUCACCCAUCACCCAGCACAUACAACAAGGAGGACCUCACCAGCUGCAUAACAGUGUAGUGGUGAUCCUGAAAAAUCUGGUCAUUUCGAGCUUGCCACAGUUGCCAUGCUAAACAACCGACAAGAGAUGUUUGCUUCUUUUCUACCUAGGCAUGUGAAAUGAAUUAAAACAAUGGUGACAGAAAAGAAGGCUUGGAACUGUUGCCACUGAAUCUAGGCCGAGAUUUGAGUGUAGCUCGGAUGAUCAUGAGGUCGGCAGAAACCGAGCCGAAUCGAUUGGCUAUGAUGGGGAUAACUGGUUUCCUAGGUUUUUGAUGGAAGAGCCUCUGAUGCUUAAGUUAGGGUAGAGAAGUAAUGGUAUAGAAGGAAGAUAUUUCAGCAGAAUUGAGUUUUCUCUGAAUGAUAUCGCAUCCUAAGUGUUGCUGGUGGUCCAAACCGANNNNNNNNNNNNNNNNNNNNACUAAGGUCCUCCGAACUACCCCUUUAUAUAGGAGAGUCAAUUUUGUUGUUUUUCCGAGCAGAUGUGACGUGAUCAGUGAUCAGGUGUACGUCUCUCCGCAUGGGCGUCGCUCCGCAUGGGCGGUGUAUGGCUUGACAAGGCCCGAAUCAAUUUGUUUUCGUAUAUUGUUAUUUAGAGAGAAUAAUGAGGAAGUAAAGAAUAAAUUAAAAUGAAUUUAGCUGAGAAUAAUUUAUCAUGUAUCAUUUAUUUGUGUUAUAGGAGAGAGCUUAAUUUUUAAUGAGCUUAUUUACUUGUUAAGUAAUAUUAUGAAAUAUUAAACUUCAAUCCGGUUUGGAACACGCUGAAUCUAUUUUUGACCCGAAUGAGUAAUUAGGGCUAGCUCAAUUAGGUUCGGACAGAGCUCCAACCUGUGUUAUCUAAAAAUUUUUAGACCUAACUCCGGCUGGAACCCGAAAAAAAUUAGGCCCCGCCCGGCCGAGCCCUAAAUCAGAAUCCAGAAGGCCCAAGCUUACCCAAUUUGAUCCGAACCGGAUAUACUGUAGGGCAGGAGAGGUGGGGUGUUCGAAGCUGCCCAAGGUUCGCCCAUCUCUCCGCACUCCAACCCUAGGCCCUGGGGCAUCUGUCCGCUCUCCAUCUUUGGCGUUCGGAAGGCGAGCGGCGGCGUUCGGCGGCGACGGUAGUCGAACAUUGAUCACAGGCAACCGGCUAGGAUCCGAGAGGUCUCAAAGUAUGUCCGCUUCUCUUCCUCCCUCCCUCCCUCCUUCCCUCUUUCUUCCUCGCGUUUUUUCGCCUUCCUCUUCUAGAGUGGAAUGCCCUAAAUAGAGCAUAUCCUCUGUUACAGAGGCAUUUGUGGAAGAGUUGAUCCAUUUCGAGACCUUCACUGUCGUAUUCCCUCUUUUUGUCCAUUUAAUUGCUUGUUUUGCUGCCGGAUUUGGAUUCUUUGUUGUUAUAUAUUUUCUCUGUUUUUAUGAUCUGUUUUUAGUAUUCCUCAGUUGUAACUGUUUAAAUUAAUCAUAUGCGCGUGCUUAGUUUAAUUGAUCAUUUGUCUUCUUGUAGUGUUUUCUAUGGGAUUUUAAUCCAUAUCCAUGUCCGGUAAAUAACAUAUGCGAUACAAUCCGAGUUAAGACAAAAAUAUGUUAUAUUCUACAAGUUUAGUGCAAAUAAUAAAACUGUGAUGAACUAGAAAGUUUUAUCAAGUAGAACUCAUGCGCGUGUUAUUAGCGAUGUAUCCUCGAGUCAUAUGAGAUGAAUAGUUUAUUGAAGGCAAUGCAAAUCUUGGUUGAUAAUUGAAAUUUAUGAAGGCAUGUAUAUUAUUUUCUGAAUAUUCUAAAAGGUUUGUCGCCUGGGUGGCGCCUGGACUAUUUAAAAACUAUGGCUUCGAACAAUGAAGCGAAGAAUGUUGGAGGCACCAUGCUUCGACUUAUUGUAAGAAUGUAUAUUGAAGCUAGAUUUCUCUACUGAUGUGUAUUGCAACAUAUAUUGCAAGAGUUUUGAGAGUACUAAAGUCAAGAAGUAAAUGUAGAUAAACCAUUUCUUUCAAGAAUUAUAAACUCUAGCUAUAUAUAAAGAGUCAUGAUGCAAUGUUAUUGCACAUUUUGGGCCAUUUGCGGCUAAAUUCUGAUCAUUACACAUUUCACCAUUUGCUUAAAUGGUUAUGGUGCCUUCCAGGUUAUAAUAUUUCCUAGCACUUAUUUUAGCUGGUUGGUUACUUUGUACCCAAUCUCAAGGCUUUACCAGCCUGUCCUUCCAGGUUAUGAAAACAGUUUGAUAAUCUGAUUGUUGAUAAUUGUACAUUUCCAUUAUAAAUUGGAAUGAAGGGAUUUUUUUUUGAUGUUUCUUCGAAUUUCUUGGUUACAUAUUUAAAUCUCAGAUGUUGGAAACUGCUUGGAAAUGUUUUUUGGAAAUUAUUCUAUCAUUAGUGGGUUAUGGAAGCUAAUGUUAGCCUCUUUUGAUUUACUGCUUCAUUUUCUGCCUCUCAUAUAGCAUAUGAUUCUGUUAGAAGGUUUAUCCCUUCAGUGGGGCUGCCACACUUGCUUCAAUCUCACAGAUACCCCUAUCUUCACUCCCCAUUUAAUGAUAUAUCCAAAAAAACAUUAGACGAAUCGUUAGUUUCCUUUUGGACCUUUUUUUAACUAGUUUUGUGAUUUCACACGUUUUAUGAAUAUGCCUACUUCCGCCUAUUUUUUUUAAAAGUUUCUUGGCACAUGUAAUCAAUUGGUUUUUUUUGGUGCUGUUUAAUUCUCCAUUGCAAUCAUUAGAAACUUCACCUUGGUUUUUGCUUAUUCUAAUAUUCUUCUUAAACUAGUUACACUGCCUUGUUGAAUAAUUCUGCAAUAUCCAUUGGUUAAUGCAAUUUGGUAGUGUUUUCAUCCUCUCAUUCACUUUUAUUUUCUAUAUCUGCAUUUCCUUAUUACUUCUUGGCCUGCUUCCUCUCUUUCCCUUUUGUUGUUAGUCGCUUAUCUUUUUGGCUGUAGUAUAUGCCAUCUCCAUCCACCUUUACUAUUUUUAUGUAUAACCUACCUUUUACAUCACUUUGAUGCUCCAAUGUUAUGGUGCAUCAACAAUCUUAUAUAAUUGCUUUUGACUUCCCCUCUCUUAUGGACAUCCUUAUAUUAAGUGAGGGAAAUUGUAUUGUAUGGCUAUAUUUAUUGAGAUUUUCCAGGGAUAUGUAGGCUCUCUUGUGGGCCCACCAUGUCUCUCUGGUAAGUGAUGAGAUGUGCUCUAGCAUAUUACAACAGGAGAAUAAAAGUAAAUAUUAAUGUACCAAAAGUCACAAUGUUUUGUUGCAAUGGUAAAAUGAGAGAGCAUCUCUCUUCCAACAACCCUUCAAGCUUUGUGGAGCUUUGCUAUGCUACUCAAGAGCAUCGGUUGAGAGAAUCCAAAGAAGAGAUCCCUUAAGAGAAGCCCUGUUUAAGAGAAGCACAUACAACAAAAACUUAAAAAAACAUGAGAAAAUGAGAAAAUGAGCUAAUAUGAGAACCCAAGUUUAGGAUUUAGACCAAGGGAGUGAGCACCCUCGUCUGUCUCCCUUUCCAUUCUUCUCUAUUCCAGCUCUUUGUCUCCCUUCUCUUUCUCUCUCUAUAUCUCCCUUUUUUGAUCUUUCUCCCUCUAUUAUCAACACAUGACCCACCUUUGCAUUCAUACUGGUUUGGUAUUGCGUCAAUGUUGCACGGACACGAACAUGAAGAUUAGAUUCAAGACACAUACCCAAGUGUCUGACUGGAAAACGAAAGAAAAGGAGAUAUUGGGAUAUGUAGAAAAGAUAGUUUUCACUACCAUUACAAGGUAAAUCGAUACUAAGGAUUUGAUCUUUGGUUCUCACCUUCGUAAGAACCCAUGUUGGCAACAUGUAUGGCUACCAUUCUACAUUCAGCCCACACAAUGACCUUUUUGUCAAGCAUCUUCAUCCAAAAAUAGUGUCAUUUACAUCCUCCAAAAAAUUAUUAUACCAUCACUUUUUUAUAUUACUUAUUAUAGUGCUUCAAUUCCCACAGAUCAUAUUUGUUGUAUGUUGUUUUCUAUAUGGUUGAUUUGAAAUCUAACAUCAAAAUGUUUUUGUGAUGAUUAGAUUACAACAGUCAAAUAUUACUGAUUCGAUUAAAUGAUGAUUCCAGUAUAAUUUUUUUCUCUACUUAUGUUUUCUAAAUUCAAUGUUUGUACGUGUUGACUCUCCUGAAUCAACUAAAACUCCAUGAAUCUCCCAUUGCAUUGUUGGAUAUGAAAUGUAUGGUUGAUUUCUCUUAGAGAUGACGGGAAAUUAUGUCUUUCAGUGUUUCUCUGCUCAUGAAAGGGUGAGUUUGUAACUUUGUAUGGUUAAUUGGACGAGGUAAGGUUUCUCGGCCAUUAUUUAUUUUUCGUAUGUUCUUCGGAACUAAAACUUAUCAGCAAUCCCUGUUGUUACAUAGAAAUCCAUAUCCUAGAUGCCUAACAAUAAAUUUUUGGAGGAUUCAACUAUUGGCUAGGACAGUUGGCAAUGCAAAAUACAUAUAUACAAUUGACAUGAAUUUUGCAGUCUCGUCCCACUGUUUACACUUAUUGUUUACUCAUAUUUCAGCGGACAAUUAGAUAUGACAAUUUAUCUCCCUUCCUAAUCACGUAAAGUUAGUCAUCACAUCCAUGAAACUUAAUUUAUUAAAGGGAGUUGUAUUUCAGUUUCUCCAUUUCUUUGUAGAUAUUUUUCUUCUGUUGAUUAGCUAUUCAUUCAAAAUGCAAUUUUCAGGAAUAAUCCAGGUUUGUCAGUUAAAUCUUGAGAAGAUGGUGCAAUACAACUUCAAGAAGAUUACUGUUGUGCCAUCCGGGAAGGACUUCGUCGACAUUAUUCUUUCCCGCACUCAGCGCCAGACCCCAACAGUGGUCCAUAAGGGAUACGCCAUAUCCCGCCUUCGGAAAUUCUACAUGCGGAAGGUGAAGUUUACUCAGCAGAACUUCCACGAGAAGCUCUCCGCCAUUAUCGACGACUUUCCUCGAUUGGAUGACAUCCACCCAUUUUAUGGGGAUCUCCUCCAUGUGCUCUACAAUAAGGAUCACUACAAGCUCGCCCUUGGCCAGGUCAACACCGCCAGAAGUAUUAUUGGAAAGAUUGCAAAAGAUUAUGUAAAGCUGCUCAAGUAUGGGGAUUCGUUGUACCGAUGCAAGUGCCUAAAGGUUGCUGCUCUUGGUCGCAUGUGCACUGUUAUAAAGCGCAUUGGCCCAAGCUUGGCUUACCUGGAGCAAAUACGUCAGCACAUGGCCAGGCUCCCGUCUAUUGACCCAAAUACUCGUACCAUUUUGAUCUGUGGGUACCCAAAUGUUGGAAAGAGCUCUUUUAUAAAUAAGAUUACAAGGGCUGAUGUGGAUGUCCAGCCGUAUGCCUUCACAACCAAGUCCUUGUUUGUCGGUCACACAGAUUACAAGUAUCUCCGUUAUCAAGUGAUAGACACCCCUGGAAUUCUAGACCGACCAUUUGAGGACAGGAAUAUUAUAGAGAUGUGCAGCAUCACGGCGUUGGCACAUUUAAGGGCCGCUGUGCUAUUCUUCUUGGAUAUUUCGGGAUCCUGUGGAUAUAGUAUUGCACAGCAGGCAGCACUCUUCCACGGCAUCAAGUCAUUGUUCAUGAAUAAACCACUGCUUAUUGUUUGCAACAAGAUUGAUCUGCAACCUUUGGAAGGGCUUCCUGAGGACGACAUGAAGUUGGUAAUGGAGAUGAAGGCUGAGGCAAUAAAAACUGUAAUAGCCCAGGGUGGUGAGCCUAAUGAUGAGGGUGCCUUGUUGACUAUGAGUGCUUUGACUGAUGAUGGAGUAAUAGCUGUGAAGAAUGCUGCAUGUGAGAGGCUUCUGAACCAGAGGGUAGAGAUGAAGAUGAAAUCAAAGAAGAUCAAUGAUUGUUUGAAUCGGUUUCAUGUUGCAGUUCCAAAGCCGCGUGACACUAAAGAGCGGCCUCCUUGUAUUCCUCAGGCUGUCUUGGAAGCCAGGGCAAAGGCCAAUGCAGAGACGGAAAAGAGGAAGCUUGAGAAAGAUCUGGAAAAUGAGAAUGGUGGAGCUGGUGUUUAUUCUGCUAAUCUAAGGAAGCGUUAUAUUUUGGCUAAUGAUGAAUGGAAGGAGGACAUAAUGCCAGAGAUUUUGGACGGGCACAAUGUGUAUGAUUUUGUUGAUCCAGAUAUUUUACAGAGGUUGGAGGAGUUGGAAGGGGAAGAGGGGCUUCGUCUUGAUGCUGAGAUGGUGGAUGAUUUUGAGAUGGAUGGGAAAGAUUUAACCCCUGAGGAGCAAGAAGCUUUGGCUGAAAUUAGGAGGAAGAAGAGUUUGCUAAUCCAGGAACAUAGAAUGAAGAAGAGCACUGCUGAGAGCCGUCCCAUAGUGCCAAGAAAGUUUGACAAAGACAGGAAAUUCACAUCUGCUAGAAUGGGAAGGCAGCUAUCUUCUUUGGGGCUGGACCCCACUGCAGCAAUUAAUCGUACUCGGAGCAGGUCUGUCUCUAGAAGAGGCCGUAAACGGGAGAGGUCACUGGGUAGAGAAGAUGGAGAUGCUAUGGAUCUUGAUGAUGAACAAUCCAACAAGAAGCUGCGUACAAGGUCGAGAUCAAGGUCAAGGUCGAGAUCAAGACCACCUGGUGAAGUUACACCUGGGGAAGGAUUCAAGGACUCAGAUCAGAAACUCAAGGCACUGAAGAUAGCAAAGAAAUCUGUGAAGAAUAGGAAUAAGGCAGCUCGCCGGGGGGAGGCUGAUAGAGUCAUUCCUAACUUGAAGCCGAAGCAUUUAUUCUCUGGGAAACGUUCGAUCGGAAAGACUAGCAGGCGUUAAGAGGUAUGCAAAUGCUAUGCAAAUGGUAUGUGAAACCAUCUUGAUUGCUUGAUCCCGUAGGUUCUGAAUCUUUGGUGCAUUUAGUUAAGUUAAUCAUGUUUUCUUUUUUUUUUUUACCGUUCAAAGUUUCUUUCUUUAAGGUAGAUUAUUUUUAUUUCAUUCUUUUUGAUCCUGAGCUUUGUAGAUGCAUAUUGCUUGAUUAGCCUUGGAAUUUAUCAUCUGAUAUGUAAUAUUUUUAUUGGGUCUACUGGGUCUUGUUGUGUUUCUGGGGAUGAUGUUCUGAUUUGUCUCUUUCGCUUUAAUUCCUUCUGUGAAAAUAGAUGCUGUUUUCAAUAUAAAAGUUUGUUUUCCUUCUUUAAGGCUCCUUGCAUGCGCAGAAGAUAAAUCGGUGUAAAUAAAUCCUCAGUUGCAUGAGCUUAAGCUGUGUCACUUAUGAGUAACCCGUCUUAAAAUGUAAUGCCAUGUUGGGAGAUUGACAUAAAAUGUCUCAAACUUUAGUAGAUCACUCCUUGAUUUAAAAUGCUGACUCCAUAUGAACAGGAGAACUUUAACAUAGGAAGUUCUUCAUUUGAUUUUGGUACCUCAAUUUAUUUAAGCUGAAUUUUCAUGCCAAUCACUGUGUCAAAAACCAUUCUUAGAUGUCCAAUCCUCUUGGCCACAUUCGAAAUGUUUAUAUUCAUGGUUUUGCUAUUAACAUUAUCCAGAACUCUCUUGUGGUUUCUGUCACAACUUACAGUGCAGUUUUCAGUGAGAGACAUAAUUAUCUGGCACCUGCCUCUUGAGCAAUUAAAUUGUAUGAUGCAAUUAUUUAACACUCAUGGGGAGCACCGAUGGAGCCAGGAAAGGGCUUAGGCAGGAAAUAUUUAUUUGUACAUAUGCUGUUGCUACCACCUCCAAGUAUGCCUAUAAUGCAUAAUCAUUUGUCACCACACGUCUGACUGCAAGUUGCCUGUCGGUCAUGCAGAUGAAUCUUUCAUCAGUCCAGACAUAUUUGGUAGAUGUGGCGCAGGUUACCGAGGAUAGAAGCAUGAUGAUGCUACUAUAUUUGCAACUUUUAGUUUCAAUGAAUCCCUCAAUAUUUAUACUGAUCAACCUCUGAUGCAGCCUAGUGCUUCAGCACUAGUGUCUGAUCAACCUCUGAUGCAAUCUGCUUUAUGGCCUAAAGAUGAAUGCAAUCAGAGUGGCUUCUUAUGGCCUAAAGAUCAAUGCAAUCUGCUUUAUCUGGUUGUGUAUUUGUUGUUGAGGAUGUUUGCAUGAUUUAUAGAAGCCAAGUUUGUCAUUUUGAAGUUCCAUAUGUGGAAGCCACUACUUGAUAAU
rnacentral:lncRNA from 1 species